AUAUAUGUAUACAUAUGUGUAUAUGUACAUAUAUGUAUGUGUGUGUGUGUAUACAGACACACACACAUUCACACCAAGGUGAACUCUC
rnacentral:miRNA from 1 species